CUGUCAGUGCGGUUCUGUUGUGUUUACAAAUGGCGGAAGUUGUCAAAAUUCUGGAGCCGGUCAACUUUAUGUGAAUACUUUGUCAACGAUAUAUGAUCUAAGCUCUAUUAAGUACUAAAACUGAAACAUGUCUGGAGAUACAGAUCCAGUUGAACUGGAUAUAUCAGGCCCAGUGGAGUUAGACCAGCUUCAGUUUGACUUUAGUGGCAAGUUAGAUGCUGGGGUAGUUCUCAGCAGUGAUGUCAUCGAAGAAAACAAUGACAUUUCAACAGAACAGUCAGCACUCGUGGACCUCAUCCCCAUCAAUAUGAACAGUAAUGCAUCUUCUGGUGGGUUUGUAGACGAACACGAUCAUGUCAGGGUGAAUCAGGAGAGGAUAGUGCCAGAAGAGGAUGCACAAGAUGAGGAAGCACUACGAGAGGAUGUACAACAGGCUGGUGAUGCACCUGGACUUGCUGUUACCAACAUCCUGCUUGAUGAGAAAAUGAUGGAGCAUAAUGAAUGUAUUGACACAUCAGCAGGUGGUCUGAAUGUCGUGAACAGUGGACAUGGUGAAGAGGCUUUGAUGAAGGAUGAGAAUACUGACGUGCAGGAACAAGAUCAGAAUUUACUGAGAGAGAGUGUACGAUCUUCGACAGAUGUGAUUGUUGAAUCUGGCCCUAUCCCAGAAAAUACUCGUCUCGAUAUUGUGUCAUCUGCCAAGAAGUCUGGAGACUCUGGUGAAGAUGAUGAUUCCGGCUCUGAGUUUGAAGAUGAAUAUGCAGAACAGGAAGUUGUUCAGAAAGAGGAGUCUGAGUCUGAUUCCGAGUUCGAGGUACCAGAUCAUCCGAAUAAAAGUGGUUGCACUGAUUUAUCAAAAAAAAAUAUCACUGCAAGUCUGUCAAAAAUGACCCAAGAUCCAACUGCUCUGCCUUCACAACCUGUAUCAGAAUCAUCUCCAUCACCAGCCUCAAGUCCCAAAGUGCCACCCACUCCACCUGCCGUCCCUGCACCACAGCAGCCUAAUGUUACAGCCCCAUCUCAAGGGAACAUCCCCACCACAUUGCCUUCACACACAGGGGUUGGCAGUCCAACUGCUGUACCCCCAGGCGGGGAAACCGCCCCUCCUGUAUCAUCUGGGCUACCGUCCAUCUCCUCCAGUGUGACCAGUUCUUCAUCCCCACAGCCUCUGUUGGACACCAUGAAUUCUGAGGAAAAGCUGCAAAGAGUUCCUGAACUUCAGAGUUCUGAUGACUGGGAGAAUGUUACCACAAUACAAGCUGAGUUUGCGGAGAACAAGAGUGCAACAGAAGGCAGCACGAACCAGGCCUGCCAGACCCCCCUGCUCUCUGCCCAGGAAGCCGUUGACCAUUUCAGGAAGUCGGAUCUCUCCGCUGUGAAGCCAAACGUGCGGACGUCCAUUGAUAGGCAUGGGUUGUCGGCAUUGGCACACUUCUUGUUUGGCCCGCCCAAGAUACACAGAGACUUGUUACCCGAGAGAGACCUCAUCUUCUGUGUGGCUGGAUCUCAGCUGGACAAUGAGGACAGAACACAUGUACACAUCCUUCAGUCCAUCUACCGCACUCUCACAGGAUCUCGCUUCGAUUGUCAGCGCUUCGGCAGUCACUGGGAGGAGAUUGGUUUUCAAGGUCGCGACCCUGGCACCGAUGUUCGCGGUGUAGGAAUGCUGGGAUUGCUGCAGCUUCUGUACUUUCUGCGUAACCCAAAAACUGCACAGCUUGCUCGGGACGUGUAUAAACUGUCUCUUCAUCCCACACAGAACUUCCCGUUCUGUGUGAUGGGCAUCAACAUGUCCCGCAUCUGUAUCCAGACUUUACGGGAGGGACUUCUCAACAAGGAGUGCAAUAGGAGGAGACAAGUGAUGGAGGUCGUCAAUGAGUUCUACGUUGGGACGUAUUUGCACCUGUUUCAGAUCUGGCGGAAGGGAAAGACUAUCACUGAUUCAGGGCAUGUUAUUAAAGAAGUAGAGGGCCUUGCCAAGAAGAAUACAAAGGGUGUGUUCAAAACCCUGGAUGAUUAUUGGAAGAAGAAGCCAUCAGCUGAUGUGGCCGUGGAGGACGGCACGGAGGAAUUCCUCAGUGUGUGCAAGGUGGAGGCUGAUGAGUGAAUGGGGAGGUUGAAUGUGGACGUGGAUGGAGGGGUACUUGGAGGAGAGUUGGUCAGUGUGUGCAAGAUGCAGAUGAGGUGGGUUAGUGGGUCAGAGAUAUUACCAAUUCAUCAUUGGAGGGAAAGUUUCUCAGAGUGAUUAAGGUUCACACUUUUAAAUAUUUCUUAAUGAAAAAUCAUCCUUAAUUAGUAAGAAGUAAAAUUAAAGAAGAAAAAUGUCUGACAAACAUAUGCUUUUUCCAAACUCCUUGCCAUAAGUUCAAGGUAAUUGUUUAUGGUGUAAUGCAAGUAGCCUUUUGAUCAAGAGGAAUGUUCCUCAAAUGGCAGGAUCAAAUACCCUACGUUGAAUGUUUAUCUUUGCUAUCAAACUCCUGCACUUUUUGGUAUACUGUCUUCAAAACAUGAAAUCAUGAUAGCAAUUUUCUCCAUAAAACAGACAUUGAAAGUGAGCACUGAAUAUGCAUUCGGCUCCUGAAAGAAGCGGGUCGGAAGAACAUCUUCCUGUUGAUUGAAAGACUAAGAGAGGACCAUUUUGAAAUGUUGUUUACUUGAUGUUUUCCGUCCAGUAGAUGUGAAUCUGUAUAUUGUGAAGGAUCUGUUGUAGCUGAUACUAUUAUGGAGGAAUGAAUAUCACAGUUAAUAGCAAUUGUAAACAAUGGCUGCCCUAGUUGUGUUGUAGAUGUGAUGUAGAUGCUGCACUUGUUGGAGAUGAUUCAGUUGUCAUGUGUUAACCUGAGGGAUGAGGAGGAGGCAACUAUAACAUGAAUCGUGGAACACCAGUUCCUACUGCAUGUGACAGGCUGGCUGAGUUUGUCGUCUCACCCCUGUGGGUUGUAUGGGUGCUUAGUUACUACCAUUCGUCAGGACUCCCUUCAUACACAGUUUUGUGUUCUGGAUAUGUGCCAUCAGUUGUAGGAUGCACUCCAGGAGCUGUAUCAUGUCGAGAGGCACAGAGUACACACAGUGUUCCUGCACCAAAGAUGAUGUUUGCUGCCAAUAUGUUUAUAUCUCUAGCAUCUAUACCAAAUUAUUUUAUUAUUUCCUUCCCCAAUCUCAACAAAAUCAGGUAUUUUACUCUCUCAUGACACUGUUGUGAGGACACCUCCAUAGAAGACGCAUCAGGUGAACUUUCCAAUCAGCAUCCAGACUUCCAAAUUCCUGGUUCAAGUGCACAAAGCAGUCAGACAAGCAUAUCCGAUUUCUGUGUCUCGAAAACAUAUAUUACCAGGGACUUCCCACUGCCAAAAGUAGAGUCAAAUACCAUUUCAUUAUUAUGGCUAUGUUAUACACCCUGUUUGUAAAUGCUGUGGCAUCAGGAGUACAAUUGAAGGAAUAUUUGUGUUGUGUGUUGCAUUUCAUAUGUACAAAUCAAAAUGUCAAACUUGAGGUGAUAAAUGAAGCAGUCAUUUUAGAAAGCUGACAUCUGACUGGCUCAAGAACCCAUGCAUCCAUGAGAUUGGGAGGUCAAAAUUGGCCUCGGGUUCACUGAUAUCUGGAGGUGUCUUCAGAUCUUGAUGCAGUGGGGCAUUGUAUCAGAGUAAAAUGAGAUUGGAACCUGCCCUAAAUUCUAAGCCAAACUCAGAUGAUAGAUUCAAUGUUAUGUCUGUGUAACGCACCUUUAUGGACCUGUCAAAAAUCCUUUGGUUGUGUGUUUUAAUAAUGCUUCUAUGUACAAACAUGUUUUCUCAUCAGAUUGGUUGACAUUUCUGUAGCUAUUAUUGAAUAAUUUCCAAAAGAUAUUGUUAUUGUUAUUGUGUUAAAACACAUUGUUGUUUUCAGUGUUUUCCACAUUUCCAGGGUAUCACAGUUUUGAUGGCCAAAACCAUGAGCAGUGUGUUUUAUGUACUGCUUACAUAGCAUAGAUCAACAUGGCAAAGGAAGGAUACAGAUCUUGCAAAUACAUUCAAAUAAUAUAAUUUUUGCCUAUUUAGGACUGUGCAAGGUUAUUCUUCAUAUGCUAAUAUAGCUUUGAAAUAUUCAGACUUCAAUUAAUUUGAUCACUGAAAAAAUCUAAAAUUAAACCUGUUGUCAUGUAUAUUUGAUAUAAAUUAAUUCCUUUUUUAAUUUAAAGUGUAAGGUUAUGAAUACAUGUACUAUGUGAAAUUCCUUCCAAAGAAAUGUUCCAAAAAAACCUAACAGACUUCUUAAAAGACAAUAAAUCACAACUAUGAAAUAAAUGGAAUUAUAUUUCUCUCCUACAAUCAACUGGUACUUAAAUGAUCAUCCUGUAAAAAUAUCAAAAUAUAUUGUUUUCAUUGAAAAAAUCCGUCCCCAUACAUUCUCAAAAUGGCAGGAGUAUUUGAUGUCCAAACCACUCAAUGUUUGCUUGUAAUAUCAGACAAAUCAACAUUAUGUGAUGACUGGUCUACCAGAGACACUGGAACAACCCUACAGAAGUGGAGGAGUGAGUGAGUGUGUGAGUUUCAAGCCACUUUGAACAGUAUUUCAGUUACCUGUAUAUCAAGGCAUGUCAGCUUGAUGAGGGAGGAAAGACUAAAGUGAUGCAAGUCUAAGACUUUAUUCACCCAUGAGCAUGGGUAUGGUGCUGACAAACCUAGAAACAUAAUCCGGGUGAACUGGAAAUUGAACCUCUGAUUAAUGGUUUCUGGUAGGCCAAGAAGACAAUCUUUGCACAGUGAAUUGUGGAACCUUCGAUGCCUGGGCCAUCCGUGCCCCUGACUACGGGAAAAUAGGAAGAUAUAUUGCAGUAUGUGCUUGUUAGAUAAAGUUCAACAUUGCUUUAACUGUGGUCCCCAAUACCCCAUUCUUGUUCGUCGCCUGGACUAAGUGAGAAUUGGUUUGUUACAGUGUGUGACAUGACUGUCAUUUAAAGGUGUGGAUCAUGCUGUUAACCCUGGUUGACCUGGCCAAGGCUUGUUUGUAUACAGGUUCCCAGGAUACAGCUCGAAGCACUGGUUGACCUGGCCAAGGCAUGUUUGUAUACAGGUUGCCAGGAUACAGUUCGAAGCACUGGUUGACCUGGCCGAGGCUUGUUUGUAUACAGGUUCCCAGGAUACAGCUCGAAGCACUGGUUGACCUGGCCAAGGCAUGUUUGUAUACAGGUUGCCAGGAUACAGUUCGAAGCACUGGUUGACCUGGCUGAGGCUUGUUUGUAUACAAGUCGCCAGGAUACAGUUGGAAGCACUUGUUGACCUGGCCAAGGCAUGUUUGUAUACAAGUUGCCAGGAUACAGCUCGAAGCACUGGUUGACCUGGCCAAGGCAUGUUUGUAUACAGGUUGCCAGGAUACAGCUUGACGCACUGGUUGACCUGGCCGAGGCAUGUUUGUAUACAGGUUGCCAGGAUACAGCUCGAAGCACUGGUUGACCUGGCUGAGGCUUGUUUGUAUACAGGUUCCCAGGAUACAGCUCGAAGCACUGGUUGACCUGGCCAAGGCAUGUUUGUAUACAGGUUGCCAGGAUACAGUUCGAAGCACUGGUUGACCUGGCCGAGGCUUGUUUGUAUACAGGUCGCCAGGAUACAGUUGGAAGCACUUAUUGACCUGGCCAAGGCAUGUUUGUAUACAGGUCGCCAGGAUACAGUUGGAAGCACUUGUUGACCUGGCCAAGGCAUGUUUGUAUACAAGUUGCCAGGAUACAGCUCGAAGCACUGGUUGACCUGGCCAAGGCAUGUUUGUAUACAGGUUGCCAGGAUACAGCUCGAAGCACUGGUUGACCUGGCCGAGGCAUGUUUGUAUACAGGUUGCCAGGAUACAGCUCGAAGCACUGGUUGACCUGGCGGAGGCAUGUUUGUAUACUGGUUGCCAGGAUACAGCUCGAAGCAUUGGUUGACCUGGCUGAGGCUUGUUUGUAUACAAGUUGCCAGGAUACAGCUCGAAGCACUGGCUGACCUGGCCGAGGCUUGUUUGUAUACAGGUUGCCAGGAUUCAGCUUGAAGCACUGGUUGACCUGGCGGAGGAAUGUUUGUAUACAGGUUGCCGGGAUACAGCUUGAAGCACUGGUUGACCUGGCCGAGGCAUGUUUGUAUACAAGUUGCCGGGAUACAGCUUGAAGCACUGGUUGACCUGGAAGAGGCAUGUUUGUAUACAAGUUGCCGGGAUACAGCUUGAAGCACUGGUUGACCUGGCCGAGGCAUGUUUGUAUACAGGUUGCUGGGAUACAGCUCGAAGCACUGGUUGACCUGGCGGAGGCAUGUUUGUAUACAGGUUGCCAGGAUACAGCUCGAAGCAUUGGUUGACCUGGCUGAGGCUUGUUUGUAUACAGGUUGCCAGGAUACAGUUCGAAGCACUGGCUGACCUGGCCGAGGCUUGUUUGUAUACAGGUUGCCAGGAUACAGCUUGAAGCACUGGUUGACCUGGCGGAGGAAUGUUUGUAUACAGGUUGCCGGGAUACAGCUUGAAGCACUGGUUGACCUGGCCGAGGCAUGUUUGUAUACAAGUUGCCGGGAUACAGCUUGAAGCACUGGUUGACCUGGAAGAGGCAUGUUUGUAUACAGGUUGCCGGGAUACAGCUUGAAGCACUGGUUGACCUGGCCGAGGCAUGUUUGUAUACAAGUUGCCGGGAUACAGCUUGAAGCACUGGUUGACCUGGAAGAGGCAUGUUUGUAUACAAGUUGCCGGGAUACAGCUUGAAGCACUGGUUGACCUGGAAGAGGCAUGUUUGUAUACAAGUUGCCAGGAUACAGCUCGAAGCACUGGUUGACCUGGCCAAGGCAUGUUUGUAUACAGGUUGCCAGGAUACAGCUCGAAGCACUGGUUGACCUGGCUGAGGCUUGUUUGUAUACAGGUUGCCAGGAUACAGCUCGAAGCACUGGCUGACCUGGCCGAGGCUUGUUUGUAUACAGGUUGCCAGGAUACAGCUUGAAGCACUGGUUGACCUGGUGGAGGCAUGUUUGUAUACAGGUUGCUGGGAUACAGCUUGAAGCACUGGUUGACCUGGCCGAGGCAUGUUUGUAUACAAGUUGCCGGGAUACAGCUUGAAGCACUUGUUGACCUGGAAGAGGCAUGUUUGUAUACAGGUUGCCAGGAUACAACCUGAAUGCUGCUGAAUUUUCUUAUCAAUAAUAUCUCAGUGAACAUGAGAACAUUAGUGAUGCUUUUCAAUGGAGGAAGUUGGUACAUGCCAUUGCAAUGGACUGAUUGCUGAUAUAAGCAAACAUUGUGUACUAUUUCUAUAUUAAGUCAUCAUCAUCAGUGUCUUCAUAUACAAGUACUCCUGUACACAUGCAUGUAUAUUCUGUUAUUUGUUACUGUUGUUUGUUAGCUUCAUAAUACAUAUGAUGUAGCAUGUAUAUGUACCACGUACACAGGCUGCACAUCAGUGUUUGCAAGUUCAUCACACUUUAUGGUUUAUGUUAUGUUUAAAUAAACUGUAUAUUUCUCAAA
rnacentral:misc_RNA from 1 species